AUGAGUGUAGAGCUGUGUGAAGAGAGCAGCAGUGCUUACUGAAGCUUAAAUCAUACUGGAAUUAACAUGGACCUGAGGACCAGGAUGCUGAGACCUCACCUCACUUUAAUGCUGGUAGUCAUUAUACUUGGAAAUUCCUGGUUGGCUGGUGGCGUAGAAAUAAGACUUGUCAGUGGCAAUGGUUUCUGCUCUGGUAGAGUGGAGAUUUAUUAUAGAGGCCAGUGGGGAACAGUGUGUGAUGAUGGCUGGGACAGUAGUGAUGCUGCAGUGGUAUGCAGACAGAUGAGAUGUGGAGAAGCUCUCAGUGCCCAUAAUGGUCCUCAUUUUGGUGCAGGAAGUGGCCCGAUACAUUUAGAUGAUGUAGCUUGUUCUGGAUAUGAAAGAUCCGUUACAGACUGCCUUCGUUCACCAUCACACAAUUGUAAUCAUGGUGAAGAUGCUGGGGUUACUUGUACAGGUAGGUUAAAACUCAAUAAUUUUAUACUGCUAAGUCAACAUCUGUUGUCUUGUCAUAUUUUUAGAAGUGUAACUGACACAGUCAUUCAUUCAAACACUAUAAGCCCAAUAUAUCUAAUGACAGCUUGUUCUUAUUUUCUUUAGGUGUAAAAUCAAUUUUGCUAAUUUGUCCCUGUUCCUAUACUGGUUUUUAGAAAUGAGAACACCUUUACCAGUGGGGUGGCAAAACAAAGGCCUGACAUGGCCUGACCAUAUUCUGUUCAUUUUGUUACAAAACGUGCUUGGGCUACCAAGCAUACAGUGGUAUGAAAAUGUUUAGGCACCCCUAAUAAUUUUCAGGAUUUUCCUUUAAAAAUCAUUGGUUGUUUGCAUCAGCACUUUUAGUUAAAUAUA